rnacentral:rRNA from 1 species
CCAGCAGCCGCGGUAAUUCCAGCUCCAAUAGCGUAUAUUAAAGUUGUUGCAGUUAAAAAGCUCGUAGUUGAAUUUCUGGGCUGGCCGGGUGUCGACUUUGGUCGGCGCCCCGCGAGUUCAUCCUCUCCCUUCGGGGAGUCAUUUACUGUGAAAAAAUUAGAGUGUUUAAAGCAGGCUUUAGGCUUGAAUACAUUAGCAUGGAAUAAUACGAUAGGACCACGGUGCUAUUUUGUUGGUUGCGUACCGAGGUAAUGAUUAAUAGGAACAGUUGGGGGUAUUCAUAUUUAAUUGUCAGAGGUGAAAUUCUUGGAUUUGUUAAAGAUGAACAACUGCGAAAGCAUUUA